UUCUGUGGGUCCUAAGCAGGGCUGUCCUGCCUACGCCAUUCCCCUGGGGUUUAGGUUGUGCCCUCCCGAAGGACUGAGACCCUUCCUCAUUUCCGGAGAGUUCCUGGCUUUGGUCUGGGUGAGCCCUGACGAGAUGCCCCUGCCUGAAACUGUACCACCCGAAAUCCAGGCAGGACGCGCUCUGAUUGGCCAGCAGGUCCGCACUGAAAGUGCUGCCACUCACUGCCCGGUAAAAAGUCUAUCUGGAAGGGGAAGCAAGAAACUGCCCUCACUGACUUAUCUGUAGUGGUUCUCAUGCAGUACUUCAUGAGGGCACGAUUAUAUCCCAGGGUGACCUUCUCCAUCAGCACAGGAGACAUUGAUCUCUGAAACAACCUGGUCUCCCUAAGACUCAAGGAAAAUUCUUCCUAUGGGGAAAGCCACCGAUGAGAAACACAACAAUCCAACUCCUCAAGCUACGGACAGAGCCCUGGACACGUGGCAGGCAUAGGGAAAGAACGGAGGUCUGGAGACCUCCUUCACUUCAUGGAGGCUGGUGGCGGGAGCAUCUGUCCUCAGGAAGCCUGCCUCCACUUGUUCAAAGUUCGUCUCUCCUUGUAGCUGUCCGUCUGGCACA